GCGGGUGUAGUUCAAUGGUAGAACAUCAGCUUCCCAAGCUGAUUGCGUGGGUUCGAUUCCCAUCACCCGCUCCA
rnacentral:tRNA from 1 species